rnacentral:lncRNA from 1 species
UUGUUUAACGACGUUGCAUCCGUAACCUAUAACAAUACAUAAACACCAUAAAUUCAUAUGUGUAAAGCCAAAUAAAAUAAAACGCAAAAAAAAAAAGCAAAAAAAAUGGGGUUAGUUAUGAUUUGAAAGUGAAACCUAGAGAAGAUAUUUAUAUUAAACUGAAAGGCGGUGUACGAUCUAAUUUUUUUAAUUUUUGAAGAUAAUUACAACAACAAGAAAUGAAGAUUUAUAUAUUGUGUUAGAUCAAAUCUUUAUCAAAACAAUUAAUAUUCCUAAAAACAAUUAAUAACUACUAUGGAUAUUAAUUAUAAAAAUUAUUCCUUAUUUUAUUUGUUAAAAAAAGGAACAAUAACAUAAUUUUUUUUAGAUUUACAAUUAUAUUUGACAUUUAUUUAGAUACACCAUCAUUAUCGGUAUAAAAUAUAAAAGAAAGUUUCUUUUAUUUUAUCAGAUUUGUGAAUUUAAAGAAUAUAUGAUAGUUGUUUUGAUAUUAUCGGCAAUAUCUAUAUAUUUUAGAAAAGUAAAUUUUACUUUUAAAAACAAUUGGCUCGUAAUUAUCACAACAUAAAUUUACCAUUAAUAUAUCAAAAAUAUAAUUAAACGAUUAAUUAUGAGACACAUCUUUUGUUAAAAAAAAAGAACCAAAAAGGAAAAAAAAAACACGGAAAAGGAAGAGAAAAUAAGAAGACACGACCAAUCCUUUCUCCGACGUAAUUGUAUGUGACUCACGACCAUGAUUAGAUUGGUGGAGAUUAAUCAUUGGAUGUUCUUGGUCGAACGAUAAACCGUCAUAAAAAAGGUAUGUAAACUACAUUUGAUCCAAAUUUAUUUAUUUUUUUCAUUUUUUCGUGUUUAAGAAUAUUACUAUUUUGUUAAAUGUAAAAUAUAUCGAAUUUUUAUAUUUUAGGGUCAGUUAAUUUUUUAAUUUUAAUUAAUAUUCGAAUUAAUUUAAUAGAAGGUAUUUAAGUAAUUACGCAAAAUCAAGGGUUCAACAAGAGCCGAGAGUCUGACACGUCAGCAAAAACACUUCUUAAAUAUUGUUAUUAUAGAUAGAUGGGAUUACAUAGUACAGAUAUUAUUAAUUUAUAGAAGUUUUAAUGUAUAUAUGAAUUGUAUAAAAUAAUGAUAAGCCUUAUUCAGCCCAAAAAAAAAAAAAAUAAUAAUAAUGAUAUGAGCCCUUGUCCAUUAUAUCAUCAUAGAGGUGCCAGGCUAGUCUCGCUUUUUUUUUCUUUUUUUUUUUUUUUUUUUUUUUUUUUUUUUUUUUUUUUUUUUUCNNNNNNNNNNNNNNNNNNNNNNNNNNNNNNNNNNNNNNNNNNNNNNNNNNNNNNNNNNNNNNNNNNNNNNNNNNNNNNNNNNNNNNNNNNNNNNNNNNNNAUUUUAGGGUCUUUAUUUAUCAGAUUGUGAAUGAAAGAAUAUAUGAUAGUUGUUUGAUAUAUCGGCAUAUCUAUAUAUUUAGAAAAGUAAUUUUACUUUUAAAAACAAUUGGCUCGUAAUUAUCCCAACAUAAAUUUACCAUUAAUAUAUCAAAAAUAUAAUUAAACGAUUAAUUAUGAGACACAUCUUUUGUUAAAAAAAAAGAACCAAAAAGGAAAAAAAAAACACGGAAAAGGAAGAGAAAAUAAGAAGACACGACCAAUCCUUUCUCCGACGUAAUUGUAUGUGACUCACGACCAUGAUUAGAUUGGUGGAGAUUAAUCAUUGGAUGUUCUUGGUCGAACGAUAAACCGUCAUAAAAAAGGUAUGUAAACUACAUUUGAUCCAAAUUUAUUUAUUUUUUUCAUUUUUUCGUGUUUAAGAAUAUUACUAUUUUGUUAAAUGUAAAAUAUAUCGAAUUUUUAUAUUUUAGGGUCAGUUAAUUUUUUAAUUUUAAUUAAUAUUCGAAUUAAUUUAAUAGAAGGUAUUUAAGUAAUUACGCAAAAUCAAGGGUUCAACAAGAGCCGAGAGUCUGACACGUCAGCAAAAACACUUCUUAAAUAUUGUUAUUAUAGAUAGAUGGGAUUACAUAGUACAGAUAUUAUUAAUUUAUAGAAGUUUUAAUGUAUAUAUGAAUUGUAUAAAAUAAUGAUAAGCCUUAUUCAGCCCAAAAAAAAAAAAAAUAAUAAUAAUGAUGAUGAGCCCUUGGUCCAUGUAAUAUCAUCAUGACACAAUCAUAUAGUAAGUUUUUCUAAUAGCGGUAAAUUCGCAUAAUGGUUAUUACGUAUACUUUCACAUAAUUAAGAAACACGUUAUUAAGAGAUGUAGCUAAGUUUGAUUAAUUUGAAGUUUUGAACAUAGAAAAUAAGUGACCGUACGGAUAAAUGUGGAAGAAAAUAAGGACAAUAGUUGGACGUUAGCUAGUAGAAGUGGGCCGCUCGCACCGUUAGUCCCGCAAACGGCGCCGUUCUCUCGUUUCGAGCCAUCAUCCCACUUGUUUGUUGUUUCAUGUGACUUCUUCGUCUCGAGGCAAACUCUUGACUCUUCGUCACUUUCGCUUAUUACCCAUUUGUCUGCCAACAUUUCUUUUGGCAAUAUACUCAUGUAACUCCAAAUAAAUCUUCUUAUUUGUAAGUUUGUAUUUAUAUUUGUAAGGUUAAUUUGGGAUUUACAUUUCUGAUUUCUCUAAAAAAAUUUUCUCUAUAUUUUUAUUCUUUUGCUAUAUCAGAAUAUAUAUAUAUAUAUAUAUAUAUAUAUAUAUGAAAAAAUAUAAUACCUUCUAUACAACAUUAUUACAAUCUAUAGAUGUAAAUAGAUUAUAUGUCAUUUGCGUUUUUGUUUGUUUGUUAUUAUAUAUUUUUUAAUAGAGUGAAUAUCAUGGGUAAUAUUAGCAAAUAGCCUUUAACUAGAAAAGUAUUAAGUAAAUAACCUUUGACUAUUUUUUUUGUUAGAAUGGAGUAUAUACUAUAAUAUCCCUCUUAUUUAGAGGUAUUUACAAGAUGAAAUAUAUGCUGGGAAAAGGUGAGAUUUACGUCAAUAUCAUCGGUGAGAUUCAGAUUAUAAUUCCGGUGUCUUCGUAAGAGAGAGAAAAAUAUAUGUUGAGACAUCUUACCGACGAUAGUGAGAGAGAGAUUUGGAGUCGAUUGUGACGAAUCUUUCGCGGGAGGGGGCUUUAGUGUUCCGUCGCGAAAGGUGAUGGUAGUUUUAUCUAUGAGAGUGAAAUCCAGUGAUGGAAGUGAUUGUGGCUACAAAAACAAGGAUGAUGGAGAUAUCGAUGGUAGAUACGUACAGAGGAGGUGGUGAUGAAUAUAGAGGAUGGUGGCUACAAAGGUGACGAUGGUGGAUACAAAGAAGGUAAUAGUGGGUACGAAGUUAGUGGUAAAGGAUACAG